rnacentral:rRNA from 1 species
GGUUAAGUCCCGCAACGAGCGCAACCCUUAAGCUUAGUUGCCAUCAUUAAGUUGGGCACUCUAAGUUGACUGCCGGUGACAAACCGGAGGAAGGUGGGGAUGACGUCAAAUCAUCAUGCCCCUUAUGAUUUGGGCUACACACGUGCUACAAUGGACAAUACAAAGGGCAGCGAAACCGCGAGGUCAAGCAAAUCCCAUAAAGUUGUUCUCAGUUCGGAUUGUAGUCUGCAACUCGACUACAUGAAGCUGGAAUCGCUAGUAAUCGUAGAUCAGCAUGCUACGGUGAAUACGUUCCCGGGUCUUGUACACACCGCCCGUCACACCACGAGAGUUUGUAACACCCGAAGCCGGUGGAGU